UCGCAUCGAUGAAGAACGCAGCGAAAUGCGAUAAGUAAUGUGAAUUGCAGAAUUCAGUGAAUCAUCGAAUCUUUGAACGCACCUUGCGCUCCUUGGUAUUCCGAGGAGCAUGCCUGUUUGAGUGUCAUUAAAUUCUCAACCCAUCCAACUUUGAUGUUUGGUAUGUGGCUUGGAUGUGGGGGUCAUUGCAGGCCUUUGUAAUAAAGGUCAGCUCCCCUGAAAUGCAUUAGCGGAAC
rnacentral:rRNA from 1 species